CAGCCGCCGCGGGAAAACGGAGGAUCCGAGCGUUAUCCGGAAUUAUUGGGUUUAAAGGGUGCGUAGGCGGACAGAUAAGUCAGUGGUGAAAGACGGUGGCUCAACCAUCGCAGUGCCGUUGAUACUGUUUAUCUUGAAUAUGGAUGAGGUAGGCGGAAUGUGGCAAGUAGCGGUGAAAUGCAUAGAUAUGCCACAGAACACCGAUUGCGAAGGCAGCUUACCAAGGCAAAAUUGACGCUGAGGCACGAAAGCGUGGGGAUCGAACAGGAUUAGAUACCCGAGUAGUCCCUGUCUCUUAUAC
rnacentral:rRNA from 1 species